AGAGCAACGCACAAAACCCUCUUUGGCAAUUAGCCUUUAACAAAGAUGAUAUAGCAAAAAGACUUCAAGAUUCAACACUCCGGCAAUUGGCCUUCAAGGAGUAGAAAACAAUAUACAAUUCAAGAGGAAAUGGCAAUUGGCCUUCUUAAUCCUCCAACCCUUCAACAGAAAACUGGCUAUCGGCCUUGUACAUGAACAAAUUGUAAAGAAAACUUACUGACACAAUUCAUCAAACACUUGGAGUGCACCGAGUUGAUUUCUCCAGAA
rnacentral:lncRNA from 1 species